GGAAUCUUGCGCAAUGGACGGGAGUCCGACGCAGCGACGCCGCGUGGGUGAAGACGGCCUUCGGGUUGUAAAGCCCUUUUCUGGGGGAAGAGAGAGGACGGUACUCCAGGAAUAAGUGUCGGCUAACUACGUGCCAGCAGCCGCGGUAAUACGUAGGACACGAGCGUUAUCCGGAUUUACUGGGCGUAAAGCGCCUGUAGGCGGUUCUUCAAGUCGUUUGUGAAAGCCCUGGGCUCAACCUGGGGAGGCCAAGCGAUACUGGAGGACUUGAGGGUGACAGAGGGGAGUGGAAUUUCCGGUGUAGCGGUAAAAUGCGCAGAUAUCGGGAGGAACACCAGUGGCGAAGGCGGCUCCCUGGGUCACCCCUGACGCUGAGAGGCGAAAGCUAGGGGAGCAAACAG
rnacentral:rRNA from 1 species